rnacentral:rRNA from 1 species
AAGUCGUAACAAGGUUUCCGUAGGUGAACCUGCGGAAGGAUCAUUAUCGAAAAUAAAGGGUUGUCUGCUGGCCUCUCGGGGCGCGUGCACGCCCAGAUCCACAACACACCUGUGAACCCACCGUAGGCCCUCGGGCUUAUGUAUUAUCAUAUACUCUGAUCAUAGAAUGUAAAUAUCUUGCCUUAAAAACGCAAUGAAAUACAACUUUCAACAACGGAUCUCUUGGCUCUCGCAUCGAUGAAGAACGCAGCGAAAUGCGAUAAGUAAUGUGAAUUGCAGAUUUUCAGUGAAUCAUCGAAUCUUUGAACGCACCUUGCGCUCCUUGGUAUUCCGAGGAGCAUGCCUGUUUGAGUGUCAUUAAAUUCUCAACCCCAGCGGUUCGUUGGGGCUUGGACUUGGAGCGUGCUGGCGAAGGUCGGCUCCUCUUUAAAUGCAUCAGCGGAAAACGGAACUUUCCCUUCGGCGUGAUAAUAUCGUUGCGUCGUGGUGGGUCGGUUAAAGGGUCCCGCUCACAAUCGUCCUCGGACAAAAAUAAAAAACAUCUGUUUGACCUCAGAUCAGGUAGGACUACCCGCUGAACUUAAGCAUAUCAAUAAGCGGAGGAAAAGAAACUAACAAGGAUUCCCCUAGUAACUGCGAGUGAAGCGGGAAGAGCUCAAAUUUAAAAUCUGGCGGUCGUCUGGCCGUCCGAGUUGUAAUCUGGAGAAGCGUUUUCCGCGUCGGACCGUGUACAAGUCUUCUGGAACGGAGCGUCAUAGAGGGUGAGAAUCCCGUCUCUGACACGGACUGCCGAUGCUUCAUGUGAUACGCUCUCGAAGAGUCGAGUUGUUUGGGAAUGCAGCUCAAAAUGGGUGGUAAAUUCCAUCUAAAGCUAAAUACUGGCGAGAGACCGAUAGCGAACAAGUACCGUGAGGGAAAGAUGAAAAGCACUUUGGAAAGAGAGUUAAACAGUACGUGAAAUUGUUGAAAGGGAAACGUUUGAAGUCAGUCGCGUCGGCCGGGACUCAACCUUGCUAUCUUGCUCGGUGCACUUCUCGGUUGACGGGUCAGCAUCAAUUUUGACCGUCGGAUAAAGGUCGAGGGAACGUGGCAUCCUCCGGGGUGUGUUAUAGCCCUUGGUUCGCAUACGACGAUUGGGAUUGAGGAACUCAGCACGCCUUCAUUGGUCGGGGCUUAAUCGCUCACGUUAACGUGCUUAGGAUGCUGGCAUAAUGGCUUUAAGCGACCCGUCUUGAAACACGGACC